GGAAGAUCCUGGGGACGGAGCCAACGCGGAUGCAAAAGGCAGCAAUUAUUUUCCUGCUGGAAAAAAAUUCACAAACGCUGCUUUGGAGGCCUUUGGAGAGGGGCGCACAGAUGAAAACACCCUGCGGACACCGUAACUAUAAACCCGACUCCUCCCGAGGAGCGACGGUCCGAGCGGACGCUAGCGGGCCCAGCAGACACGAGCGGAGCGGGCCAGGCCUCUCUAACGUCCGGGCCAAACCCGUCCAUCACCCCAAAACCAGUUCAUCUCCUCGGAACUCACCCAGGCCAGUGAGGCCUUAACUCUGAAAGGCAAAAAGACUCUCAGACGCUCACAGCCGGCGUCACAAAAGGAACGGCGCACCGCUGACGUCAUUUACGCUCUCCGCCUCGGGCCAGGCGGGGUUUCGGGACUAGGGUUUCUGCCGUGUAAGACCUCCUCGAGGCAGAAAAAUUCUACUUUCCAUCUGCUUGGCUGCGGAGGACCUUGGGGUGGGCUCAGCGUGGGGGCUGCAGGCAGAAAUGGGUCCAGAAGGCAAGGUCGAGGUUAGAGCCAAGCCUGUGGGCAGGGCUACGGGCAGGGGGCGGGGAGGAAUGUGGGUCCAGGCCCAGAGGAAAGGGUUGAAGUUAUAGCCAGGCCUGUGGGCGAGGCCGCAGCAGGGCGGCCAUAGGGGAAGGAGCCAAUGUGUUAUGCAUGUAGAAAAUAGACAAAAUCUCACUCUGUCAUCAAGGCUGGAGUUCAGUGGAGCCAUCUCAGCUCACUGCAGCCUCCACCUCCCAGGUUCAAGCGAUUCUCCUGCCUCAUCCUCCCAAGUAGCUGGAAUUACAGGUGCAUGCUGCCACACCCUGCUAAUUUUUGUAUUUUUAGUAGAGGCAGGGUUUUGCCUUGCUGGCCAGGCUGGUCUUGAACUACUUGUCAGGCCUCUGAGCCCAAGUUAAAUCAUCAUAAACCCUGUCACCUGCACGUAUACAUCCAGAUGGCCUGGAGCAACUGAAGAACCACAAAAGAAGUGAAACAGCCAGUUCCUGCCUUAACUGAUGACGUUCCACCAUUGUGAUUUGUUGCUGCCCCACCCCAACUGAUCUCUUGACCUUGUGACAUUCUUCUUCUGGACGAGUCUCAGGAGUUCCCCACAGAGCACCUUGUGACCCCCGGCCCUGCCAGCAAAAGAUAACCACCUUUAACUUUCCACUACCUACCCAAAUCCUAUAAAACUGCCCCACCCCAUCUCCCUUUGCUGACCCCUUUCUCGGACUCAGCCCACUUGCACCCAAGUGAAUAAACAGC
rnacentral:lncRNA from 1 species